AGUUAUGCUACGGACCAUUUAAAAUUAAUUACGAUUUUCGAUUCAUUCAAUUAUAUUUCAUUAAAAAUACCCCUCUAGAAAAUUCUUUGGAGACGCCUAUUUAAUCGCCUAGGUGCCUAUUUUCGCAGCGAAGCAAGAGGAAAGCACCGCGCAUGUUUCUAUCGGAUCGAUACGAAUCGAUUUCCGAUAACAUUGAACAGCAGUUGGUCAGGAAACGGCUCGAAGGGCGGAUGGCGCGCCGCUAGUAAGGUUAUUCCCCCUUUUAAGUGACGGGAUUGAAACAAAUUUUCGAUGGAAAUCAAAUAAUUAGAAGGAAAUCAAGCGUUAGCUAAUCCCAUCUACAAAACUAGAUAACCAAAGUUAAACAUCUCUUUGGACUUCUUCACAUAACAGAAGUGGAUAUUCCGGCGUGCCUGCCUUGUUUCAAUCCCGUAACUUAGUUAUUUAGUCACACAACGUGACUCUAUCACGUUGAUUAUGUACUACCUAGUUAGAUUGCUAGCCACUCUGUGAUGGUUUAUCCCUAGAGUGGGCUGUUUUUGUUGGAUAAUACACCAUACCGGAUUUUAUUACAACCAGCAUCUUCACCCAGGACCUUGCAGUAGGACUUACUCACCACAGCAGCCAACCGUUUUAUCGUGCCAAAAGGGAAUUUCCUACGGAAUUCAUCUCUAUGGACUUGCAACCCUACUUUUAACCGGCUGUUGUGUAAAAGCUAAGUUUAUUUAUUUUUUCUGUAUUUACUUUUGGGUAAGAUAUAUUUGCUACAUUGUAAACUUUUCGUAUGCAUACGAUUAGGAAGAGUACAUAUAUUUUCGUGAUAGAUAGGGUUUUAGGUUGUUGUUUUUUUUUCUUUUUGAUUCAGUAUAAGUAGGAGUUAAUUAAAAUAAAUAAAAUCAGGUCUUGUUUAAUAAUCAUAAAUAAUUGUAUCUUAAAAUUAGAUAGGGAAUCGGGUUGUAAAAUUUUGUCGUGGAGUUUAAAAUAGGGAAUACGUCUAGUAGGUUUUUUUUUGUAAAAUAUAUAAAGAGUCACUGACCAACUCAUUUAUAUAGACCUUUUUGCUAUUCUGACGGACUUUUGAUUUGGAUUUUGAUUUUAAUACUUUUUCUUGGCCAGUGAUAGUGGAUAAUUGCUUGUUGAGUGACCUUUGCGGUCCUAUUUUAUCUUUUCCCCAUCCACUAUCACUGUUAUUACGUUGCGUUAUAUGUAAAGUGUUAACAUUUAAUAUUUAUUAUUAAUAUAUUUGUAUGUAUUAA
rnacentral:lncRNA from 1 species